UACCAUUUGUACCAAUUAAUCGCUAUUACUGGUUUAAAUUUGGAUGUUCAACUGUUUCUGUAAAGUUUUUAAAUUCAGAUGUUUUACUGUUUUUGUAAAGCUUUCAAAGGGGAAUAUUUAACUGUUUUUGUAAAGUUUUUAAAUUCGAACGUUUAACUGUUUUUGUAAAGCUUUCAAAUGGGGAUGUUGAACAUGUUGAAACUGUUUUUGUAAACUUGUUAAAUGGGGAUGUUAAUCUGGUUAAUCUGGUUUUGGAUUUUAACUGAUUUUUGUAAAAAAAUAAAUAAUUGGGGAUGUUUACAUAUAGUUUUUGUUUUUGUAAAGUUUUUAAAUGGGGAAGUUUAACUGUUUUUAGUAAAGCUUUUAAAUCGGAAUGUGUAACUGUUUUUGUAUAGUUUUUAAAUUGGAAUGAUUUAAUAUUUUUGUAAAGUUUUUAAAUGGGGAUGAUUUAAUGACUCUCAAUGUUUGUAAAUUACAAAAUAGUAAAUCGGAUAUUUUACUUUCAUCAACAUUUUAGUUGCCUUUUUUUUAUUUAAAAAAAAUAACAACUUGGCUGAAUACCUUAUGCCAAAGUCAUAACAGAGAAUUGAAACUGGUAUAUCGAAAGGAAGAGGCAGGUGUUUUGCAGUUGGCAUUUACCUUUGUCUACAUGCACUUUUAAGUCCAGAUAGACCACAGCUGAGCUGGCGAGCACAAGCAAACAGAUUGCUCUUCCGAAUCCUGAAGCCAGUAUCAGAAUGUCCUUCCACAGAAAAGCGACAAUGUUUUCAUGAAUGUGGACUUGGACAAAUACUGCAUAUAUAUUAGUAGG